GCUGGGUGUGGUGGUGCGUGCCUAUAAUCUCAGCUACUCAGGAGGCUGAGGUGGGAAGAUCACUUGAAACCAGGAGUUCUGGGCUGCAGUGUGCUAUGGUGAUUGAAUGUCUGCACUAAAUUCAGCACCAGUAUGGUGACCUUCUGGGAGCAGGGGACAACCAGGUUGCCUAAGGAGAGGUGAAUCAGCUCAGGAUGGAAAUAGAGCGGUCAAAAUCAUUCCUGGAAGUAUUAACUUGAUACCAAAACCAGAGAAGAAUUCAACAAAAAAAUAACUAUAGGCCAAUAUCCCUAAUGAACAUAGAUGCAAAAAUCCUCA
rnacentral:SRP_RNA from 1 species